GGAGUUAGCCGGUGCUUCUUCUGUGAGUGAUGUCCUUCCUGCCGGUUAUUGACCCGCAGGCCUUCUUCCUCACUGAAAGUGCUUUACAACCCGAAGGCCUUCUUCACACACGCGGCAUGGCUGGAUCAGGGUUGCCCCCAUUGUCCAAUAUUCCCCACUGCUGCCUCCCGUAGGAGUCUGGGCCGUGUCUCAGUCCCAGUGUGGCUGAUCAUCCUCUCAGACCAGCUACGGAUCGUCGCCUUGGUGAGCCGUUACCUCACCAACCAGCUAAUCCGACAUAGGCUCAUCCGAUAGCGCGAGGCCCGAAGGUCCCCCGCUUUCCCCCGUAGGGCGUAUGCGGUAUUAGCCUGGGUUUCCCCAGGUUAUCCCCCACUACCGGGCAGAUUCCUAUGCAUUACUCACCCGUCCGCCGCUCGCCACCAGGGAGCAAGCUCCCCGUGCUGCCGCUCGACUUGCAUGUGUUAGGCCUGCCGCCAGCGUUCAAUCUGAGCCAGAAUCGAAACCUGA
rnacentral:rRNA from 1 species